ACUUUAAAAUUAACGGUGGUUUCUUCUAUAUGUGCAGAUCAUAGAUGGUUUGAAGAAUGAUGAGGAAGACUCAGACUGUUUAAGGAAUUUCAUCUCUAAACAAUGGGAAGGGAUAACCAGAGACAUAUUCAAUUGCUUUAACAAAGAGAAUCGUCGAUAUGGUGCAGGUGUCGUUUUAGUGUCUUUGCAAGUGAGGAUCAGUUGAGGAGUUUGUUUGAUUCCAUGGUGUUUCUUCUGCUCUCAUCUGAUAUGACGACCAA